UACGUAGGGUCCAAGCGUUAUCCGGAAUCACUGGGCGUAAAGCGUGCGUAGGUGGAUUGUUAAGUGCGGUGCGAAAUCCUGUGGCUCAACCAUAUGGACUGUAUCGCAUACUGGCAAUCUAGAGGACAUGAGAGGCAAGUGGAAUUACUGGUGUAGCAGUGAAAUGCGUAGAUAUCAGUAGGAACACCAAUGGCGAAGGCAGCUUGCUGGCAUGUAUCUGACGCUAAGGCACGAAAGCGUGGGGAGCGAACAGG
rnacentral:rRNA from 1 species